AUUGAACGCUGGCGGCAUGCCUAACACAUGCAAGUCGAACGGGGUGUAGCAAUACAUCCAGUGGCGGACGGGUGAGGAAUACAUAGGAAUUUGCCUUUAGGUGGGGGAUAGUCCGGGGAAACUCGGUUUAAUACCGCAUGAUGUCGCAAGACCAAAGCAGGGGAUCGCAAGACCUUGCGCCUUUAGAGAAGCCUAUGUCUGAUUAGCUUGUUGGUAGGGUAACGGCCUACCAAGGCGACGAUCAGUAACUGGUCUGAGAGGACGAUCAGUCACACCGGAACUGAGACACGGUCCGG
rnacentral:rRNA from 1 species